rnacentral:rRNA from 1 species
GAUGAACGCUGGCGGCGUGCUUAACACAUGCAAGUCGAACGAUGAACCGGGUGCUUGCACUCGGGGAUUAGUGGCAAACGGGUGAGUAACACGUGAGUAACCUGCCCCUGACUCUGGAAUAAGCGCUGGAAACGGCGUCUAAUACCGGAUACGACACGAACGGGCAUCCGCAUCGUGUGGAAAGUUUUUCGGUCUGGGGUGGACUCGCGGCCUAUCAGCUUGUUGGUGAGGUAAUGGCUCACCAAGGCGAUGACGGGUAGCCGGCCUGAGAGGGCGACCGGCCACACUGGGACUGAGACACGGCCCAGACUCCUACGGGAGGCAGCAGUGGGGAAUAUUGCACAAUGGGCGAAAGCCUGAUGCAGCGACGCCGCGUGAGGGAUGACGGCCUUCGGGUUGUAAACCUCUUUCAGCAGGGAAGAAGCGAAAGUGACGGUACCUGCAGAAGAAGCACCGGCUAACUACGUGCCAGCAGCCGCAGUAAUAC